UGAAUCACGUCGCCAAUACAAUACACGAUCGAGGUGAAAUGCGACUAAAACUAAUAACGACUAAAAUAAUAAACGAUUGAGUCACAACGCGAUAUUUAAAUGCACGAUCAAGGUGAAAUGCGACUAAAACUUACAGCCACUAGAAAAAAAAAACUAUUGAGACACAAUGCGAAAAUUAAAUAUGAGAUCGAGGUGAAAUGCGAUUCGGUGAUUUACUACAACAAUUUUAUGCUUUUGGGGUACAGGUCUAACAAAUCCCAAGAUGAUAAUCAUAAAUCCAUAAAUGCCAAAUGAAUAGUAAAAAUGUAUCGAAAUGACAGAUGCUACGAAAAGUGACGUGACUGUUUCUAUACAUUAUUUAAGUUUCGCUCGGCUUUUUUCAUCAACGAUUGUCGACUUCAUAGGCAUUAAGCCUCUGAAAAAUUCCAAGAGUUUUCAUGUUUUUGAGUCUCUGCAAUUUAGCACACCUGUUCCCUAGUCUUAAUUACCAAACGUACUUUUCCUUUGUCCAUCAAUCCAUGACUCCCAUAUGUCAGACAAAUCUACUGAUUCACUUGUAUAGGAAAGUCUCCGCCACUAAUAAUGCUAUUAAGCACAUUACUUAAUAUGACCGUAGAGUUAAGCAUGAAAAUAUUAGCUUACCUUGAUAGGUUUACCUCGAAAGUGUUUAUGUUGUAACAAAAAACAAUUUGCUUUGAACAACAAGAAAAACUAUGCGGCAAAAAGCACGGCUUCAGCUUUAUUUAAAUUGGGUACUUGACACAUUUUGAAUAUUAUAACAAAAUUUAGUUAAAUGGAUAGAAAAUGAGCCAUCCAUUAUAAAAAAGUGGAAUUUAAAAAAAUAUAUUGAGAUUAUAAAAAAAUACAAGGCUCCGAAGUCUCAAAAAAUUUUUUUUCUUUGUCUUUCAAAAAUAGAAAAGUAAAUGGUACCAUUCGAAUCCUUACAUUUUAUUGAAAAAUAAAUUGUAUUACAACUAUACACAUAAACGCAAUAUUUCAGGGUCAAAAUGGCAAUUUCCUUGAUCUUCCAUACAUUUAGGACAGACUUAUAUGUAUGAUGUGACGUCACAUCACCUUAUCAUUUUGUGAGAGGCGUUUCAAUCGUCGACUGCGAGCGUCAGACUUUUACUCUCAUUUCUGACCUUUGUGUUGCUUAAUUGCCAUGAGUCCUAUAUAGACAUUUGAUCCUCAGGAAAAUCAAGAUCGUUUGACAUUAUUUACAAAAAACAGUCAAGUAGCCAAUUGUAAUCUGAUCGGCGAUUGGCCCUAAUCACACCUGAUGGAAAGUGAAGACAGGGUUUAAGACGGAGCUCACCGGUUCAGUAGUAGCCUAUUCACUCUGGCUUUAAAGAGACCGAGGUAAUAUUUAUCAGGGAACACAGAUGGGGAGAGCGCAUUCCAUUAUUUAGCUGUCCACUGUAAGGACAAAGGCACACAUCUUCCCUUCACAUCGUCAUGUCAAAUUUCUUGUAUAGGUAAUUUUAAUAUCCAAUAAUGUAUAAUUUCUUACUAAUUUCCAUAAAUUAUAUCAGGCAUGUUCACUUGGCUGUCACUGUCACCGUGUACGUAAAUAAAUAGGGUUGGAUACAUAUUCAUCUGGUAUAUAAAGUUUCAAUAAAAUGCUUGAGUAGAAGCCAAA